AUGAACCUGCAUUUUCAGGCUCAAUUAUCUUCACAUCUAAUAAUGUCCCAGUAGCUUAUUAGAGGAUGUUGGUUGUUAUUACAAUGGUGAGGAAAAUUUGAUGAAAGUGUGCUUAAUUAUAUAUAAAGCUUCGUAAACAUUUGUUCCUUUGAACUAGUAUUAAGCGGUCUUGUAAAUCUGCCCGUAAUGUUGGUGGACAUCACGUGGUUGAUAUACUUAACCAAGUUUCUGUUUUCCAGAAUCAUUUCUGCUUUUGUUUCUUAUUCUGGCUCCCAAGAAGACACAACAAUUCAGAGUAAGUGUGAACCCCUGUGGCAGAAAU
rnacentral:lncRNA from 1 species